rnacentral:rRNA from 1 species
GUGGGGAAUUUUGGACAAUGGGCGCAAGCCUGAUCCAGCAAUGCCGCGUGCAGGAAGAAGGCCUUCGGGUUGUAAACUGCUUUUAACCGGGAAGAAACCCCAGGACGUGUCCUGGGUUGACGGUACCGGAGGAAUAAGCACCGGCUAACUUCGUGCCAGCAGCCGCGGUAAUACGAAGGGUGCAAGCGUUAUCCGGAUUCAUUGGGUUUAAAGGGUGCGUAGGCGGAGCGUUAAGUCAGUGGUGAAAUCCUGCAGCUUAACUGUAGACUUGCCAUUGAUACUGGCGCUCUUGAGUGCGAUUGAAGUGGGCGGAAUGUGCCGUGUAGCGGUGAAAUGCUUAGAUAUGGCACAGAACACCAAUUGCGAAGGCAGCUCACUAAGGCGAUACUGACGCUGAGGCACGAAAGCGUGGGGAUCGAACAGGAUUAGAUACCCUAGUAGUCC